CUAAAAUUUGAUGGUGGUGGUUAUAAAAACAUAUACCGCAAUUUUUGCUUGUAGAACAUUUAGUAGGUCUUGGCAGGGUUUGGUUGGAUUUUUAUUCAAUUUUAAUAGGAAAUUAUUGUCGUAAGUGGCAACACUGGUUGGGUCUUGUACCCAGAUAAGAUAAGCACAAUUUAGGGCCAAGAAAAUUCUAUGUCAAAUUCUUACUGAAGUAAUGCAAACAUGAAUGAAUUUCCAACAGUGUCAUUGAAAUGAAGUGUAAUAUCAUGUAAUGCCGGCAUACAACCAUAAUAAUUUUGUACUGAAAACUUUGCUGAAGUUCUGUCAGACCCCACACAAAGAUGCGAAUGGGAAAAAAUCUGCGCUUACCCUAGUCGGUCGCAACAAUUUUUGGAAUUAAUCAGAUAAAUUUGUCUGGCUACAUGACUGACAUGCAAUGCGAAUAUUUUGUUAAUGCAAGCAACAAUGUGUUGCUCUCAUAAUGGGGGUGAUGAAGUAGACGUAGUUCGUCAUCUCCAUAAACAUCUUCAUCAGAGCUGCAGUCAUAAUCAAAUUUAGUUAAUGUUAUGCCCAGGGAAUUCAUUGUUGUUUAUUACAUGAAUUUUGUAAAUUGUUAUCUGCUAGCAGCCCAAAAAAAUAAGAAAAAAUUCUCAUUUAUUGUCACUUUUUGUUCCAUAACAAUUUUGUAAUCCAUUAUGGUUUUAGCCAUUACAGCUGCCAGCUGGUGGGUCUUUUA
rnacentral:sRNA from 1 species